rnacentral:tRNA from 1 species
GGAGAGAUACCGAAGUGGUUUAACGGAGCAGAUUGGAAAUCUGCGACUCGAAAGAGUCUCGUGGGUUCGAAUCCCACUCUCUCCG